rnacentral:rRNA from 1 species
GCCAGCAGCCGCGGUAAUUCCAGCUCCAAUAGCGUAUAUUAAAGUUGUUGCAGUUAAAAAGCUCGUAGUUGGAUCUCGGGUCCGGGCUCGCGGUCCACCUCGCGGUGGUUACUGCCCGUCCCGACCUACCUACCGGUUUUCCCUUGGUGCUCUUAACUGAGUGUCUCGGGUGGCCGGAACGUUUACUUUGAAAAAAUUAGAGUGUUCAAAGCAGGCGCUUCGCCUGAAUAAUGUUGCAUGGAAUAAUGGAAUAGGACCUCGGUUCUAUUUUGUUGGUUUUCGGAACUCGAGGUAAUGAUUAAGAGGGACAGACGGGGGCAUUCGUAUGAUGGUGUUAGAGGUGAAAUUCUUGGAUCGCCGUCAGACGAACUACUGCGAAAGCAUUUGCCAAGAAUGUUUUCAUUAAUCAAGAACGAAAGUCAGAGGUUCGAAGACGAUCAGAUACCGUCCUAGUUCUGACCAUAAACGAUGCCGACUAGCGAUCCGCCGGAGUUGUUUCAAUGACCCGGCGGGCAGCUUCCGGGAAACCAAAGUCUUUGGGUUCCGGGGGAAGUAUGGUUGCAAAGCUGAAACUUAAAGGAAUUGACGGAAGGGCACCACCAGGAGUGGAGCCUGCGGCUUAAUUUGACUCAACACGGGAAAGCUUACCCGGCCCGGACACCGUAAGGAUUGACAGAUUGAGAGCUCUUUCUUGAUUCGGUGGGUGGUGGUGCAUGGCCGUUCUUAGUUGGUGGAGCGAUUUGUCUGGUUAAUUCCGAUAACGAACGAGACUCUAGCCUAUUAAAUAGGUCGCCGAUUUCGAUCUGUCGGCGUUAACUUCUUAGAGGGACAAGUGGCUUUUAGCCACGCGAGAUUGAGCAAUAACAGGUCUGUGAUGCCCAAGGG